GAUGAACGCUGGCGGCGUGCCUAAUACAUGCCAGUCGAGCGAACAGACGAGGAGCUUGCUCCUCUGACGUUAGCGGCGGACGGGUGAGUAACACGUGGAUAACCUACCUAUAAGACUGGGAUAACUUCGGGAAACCGGAGCUAAUACCGGAUAAUAUAUUGAACCGCAUGGUUCAAUAGUGAAAGACGGUUUUGCUGUCACUUAUAGAUGGAUCCGCGCCGCAUUAGCUAGUUGGUAAGGUAACGGCUUACCAAGGCAACGAUGCGUAGCCGACCUGAGAGGGUGAUCGGCCACACUGGAACUGAGACACGGUCAAGACUCCUACGGGAGGCAGCAGUAGGGAAUCUUCCGCAAUGGGCGAAAGCCUGACGGAGCAACGCCGCGUGAGUGAUGAAGGUCUUCGGAUCGUAAAACUCUGUUAUUAGGGAAGAACAAAUGUGUAAGUAACUAUGCACGUCUUGACGGUACCUAAUCAGAAAGCCACGGCUAACUACGUG
rnacentral:rRNA from 1 species